rnacentral:rRNA from 1 species
GAGUUUGAUCCUGGCUCAGGAUGAACGCUAGCGACAGGCUUAACACAUGCAAGUCGAGGGGCAGCGGGGAGCAAGCUUGCUUGCUCUGCCGGCGACCGGCGCACGGGUGAGUAACACGUAUGCAACCUGCCCUCCGCAGGGGGAUAACCCGGAGAAAUCCGGACUAAUACCGCGUGGUACAUCUGUGGGGCAUCCCACGGGUGUUAAAAGGAAGCGAUUCCGGCGGAGGAUGGGCAUGCGGCGCAUUAGCUUGUUGGCGGGGUAACGGCCCACCAAGGCGACGAUGCGUAGGGGUUCUGAGAGGAAGGUCCCCCACACUGGUACUGAGACACGGACCAGACUCCUACGGGAGGCAGCAGUGAGGAAUAUUGGUCAAUGGGCGGGAGCCUGAACCAGCCAAGUCGCGUGAGGGAAGACGGUCCUAUGGAUUGUAAACCUCUUUAGGCGGGGAGCAAUGCCGGGCACGCGUGCCCGGAGGGAGAGUACCCGCAGAAUAAGCAUCGGCUAACUCCGUGCCAGCAGCCGCGGUAAUACGGAGGAUGCGAGCGUUAUCCGGAUUUAUUGGGUUUAAAGGGUGCGUAGGCGGAUUUUUAAGUCAGCGGUAAAAUGUCCGGGCUCAACCCGGGCCGGCCGUUGAAACUGGGGAUCUUGAGUGGGCGAGAAGUAUGCGGAAUGCGUGGUGUAGCGGUGAAAUGCAUAGAUAUCACGCAGAACUCCGAUUGCGAAGGCAGCAUACCGGCGCC